rnacentral:rRNA from 1 species
ACACGAGUGGCGAACGGGUGAGUAACACGUGAGUAACCUGCCCUUGACUUUGGGAUAACUUCAGGAAACUGGGGCUAAUACCGGAUAGGAGCUCCUGCUGCAUGGUGGGGGUUGGAAAGUUUCGGCGGUUGGGGAUGGACUCGCGGCUUAUCAGCUUGUUGGUGGGGUAGUGGCUUACCAAGGCUUUGACGGGUAGCCGGCCUGAGAGGGUGACCGGCCACAUUGGGACUGAGAUACGGCCCAG